UGGGGAAUUUUGGACAAUGGGCGCAAGCCUGAUCCAGCAAUGCCGCGUGCAGGAAGAAGGCCUUCGGGUUGUAAACUGCUUUUGUACGGAGCGAAAAGGCUCUCUCUAAUACAGGGGGCUCAUGACGGUACCGUAAGAAUAAGCACCGGCUAACUACGUGCCAGCAGCCGCGGUAAUACGUAGGGUGCAAGCGUUAAUCGGAAUUACUGGGCGUAAAGCGUGCGCAGGCGGUUUUGUAAGACAGGCGUGAAAUCCCCGGGCUCAACCUGGGAAUGGCGCUUGUGACUGCAAAGCUGGAGUGCGGCAGAGGGGGAUGGAAUUCCGCGUGUAGCAGUGAAAUGCGUAGAUAUGCGGAGGAACACCGAUGGCGAAGGCAAUCCCCUGGGCCUGCACUGACGCUCAUGCACGAAAGCGUGGGGAGCAAACAGGAUUAGAUACCCUGGUAGUCCACGCCCUAAACGAUGUCAACUGGUUGUUGGGUAUUUACUUACUCAGUAACGAAGCUAACGCGUGAAGUGACC
rnacentral:rRNA from 1 species